CUCACCAAAGAAGUACUGCUGCUCCCAGGGAACCUAUAGCAAGAUCCACCAGACCAUCUCCAUUCAUAUCCAUCUUCCCAUGGAUACUACGGCCAAAGAACUGCAGUCCAGGAGCCAGCUGAACUGCUCCAAUCCUCUAACAAAGACAGAUUCAUGAAAAAUUUUAAAUCUUAAACCGCACACAAUCAUCUUAAAAGGAUAGUUCACUUCACUCAAAAUGAAAAUUCAUAAUUUUCACCAUUUUCACCAAUUCAUCGUAUACUCACCUGGAAUGUCAUUCCAAACCUGUAUGACUUUCUUUUUACCGCAAAAGACAAAAGAAGAUGUAACCCGUAUAGAACACUAGUACUAGGAGGAAUGGGGUUAAAUCAUUUAUUUUUCAGUUUUUUUGGUUUGUUUAUUAUAUGUAUAAGCAUUUUGUGUUUCUUGUCUCUAAUUCCGAGAUAAUGUUAAAUUUAAAACGUUUACGUUCAUACGCACAAUGUCCCCUACGUCUUUCUACGUAAGGUUUGGUUGAUUUACACAUGUAAAACACGUGUGUGUGCAAUCUAGUGUGCUGUGUGUAAUGUCAUUGGAUGCUUAAUAGCUUAAAACCCGCCUCCAAGGUGUGUUGUGUAAUGCUAUUGGUUAAGUGGAGGAAAAAAAAGGGAAAGUGAGAGAGGAGAGAGGAGAAGUCGUUCGCAGGUGAAUAACUUGCGAGUUUUUGUAAUCAAAACGCGAUUUUAUUUCAGUUUAAAUUUGAGUACGUUGUCUUUGACUUGGAAGCUAAAGUUAGCUCAAGACAUGGGUUAAAAUUUAGUAUCGAGGCGUGUUGGUGUGUUUUGUACAUGCGCCGACUUUUGAGAAGAGGUUUUUUUGCUGUGUCAUGUAGAACAGCAUUGGAUUUUUUUUUAAGCGUUUGUGUUCUCUCGUGUUUUGUUUCUCUUUGAGAGCUGGAGAGAGUAAAACGAGUUAUUUUAAAACCGUCGUGCGAGUUUCUAUCUUCGAGGGAGAGAGCUACGGAAAUAACCGGAUAGCGCACCCAGCCACCGGAAGCGUUGGGUGUUUCUCCGGCUACGAGGGACGAUCGGUGCUUUUCGGGAGGAUCCUAGCAGGCGAUUUAUACUGGCGCUUUGGAUUAAAGAGCCUAGGUACUGUGUUUCUACAUUUUAUCUGCUCACUUGAGCGAAGCGGCCAAUUUAAGUUUCACAGGCCUCUACGCACUCCAGCAACGACACGGGCCUGCAUCGGGGGGUUGUCAUUUCAGUGAUGGAUGUUAUAUAAACGGUGGAUUUAACGCUGAAUUUGGAGAUUGUUUGAAACUGAUAGAUGGUACCAGUGCUAAAAGAGGCCGGACAUGAAUUGCACGCGAAGACAGGCACAUGAAAUGAGUUGUUUUCUCAGCCUUCCUAGAGAGCAUCAGAUUACAGAAGAAGAGCAGACCAGGAACACAGACUAGAAGAACAAUGGCAAAAUGAGUUGUCUUUUCUUGAGGCCUUCAAACCAUCAUCUACCCUUCUAUAUCCACUUUGUUUUGUCUUCAGCUAGAGAUAUAGAUGCUUAUAGAUGCAACUAGAGAUACAGAGACUACUGUAGACAUAUAAUACAGCAUAUAAUAUAGCAUCCUUUUUAAGACAGCCAGGAACUGGUCCUUAAGUGCUAAAUGAAUAAAGAUGGACGUCUGCUUUAUACACAGCCUUGCUCUCGCAUGUGCUCCAGCUUUUUCCAUUUAUUAGAGCAGCUAUCUUGCCGAGCUUCACGUAAUUACAUUUCACUGGGGGAAAUAUUUUUCCUCUGAGUUCACUGCUCUGCUCUUGCAGGUGGUAAAAGUCUGUCAGAAUUCAUGCAGGGCCAUUAUCAAAGAAGUACAUUAAUGUAAACCCGUGUACCUUAGCCUUGAGAUAACAGAAAACAGCUGUAGGAGUCAUUUA